AUCCAGCUGAAGAGCCUUAAAUAGGACGAAACGCGCGUCAAACUGGAU
rnacentral:hammerhead_ribozyme from 1 species